GACACGGGGGGCUCGGGGGGGCUCAGCGGGGCCGUGGGGGGCCGUGGGGAGCGCUCCGGGCCCGUGCUGUGGGAGGAGGCCGGGGCCGGGGUCCCCAGAACGCCUCAGGGGGGUCCCCGCGGUGUCAGCGCCCCGGGCAGGCCGGGGGGGGGGUGGGGUAAAAAUGGGGAAAAAUGAGGAAAAAAUGUGGGAAAAAAAUAAAACAAGAAGUGGCCCCGGGCCCUGCGCAGCCCCGGCUGCCUGCACGGAGCCAAAAGGCCCCGGGGCUGCGGCUGGGCGCUGGCUGCUGGGCCCCCCCCCACAGCCUGACCCCUCCUGGUGCUCCCCGGGCCUGGCUCCUGCGCCUGUCACAGCAACAAAAACUCGGCCGGGAGUUGUUGGAAGUCCUGGGACGGCUCCCGGAGAGCUGGCUCUGACCUCUGCCUCCCUCAGCAACCAGCUCGGGUGCCAGCGCGGGGCUGUGCGGCACGGGGACGGCGAGGGAGCAGCGAGCGGUGCUCACUGGAUUGCUUAAACCAUUCCUCUGCGCUCAAGGAUCUUUUUUUUUUAACAGAAGGCACCUGGGCACGGAGCUGGUGCAGAGAAAAGACACGAAACCUUUGCUUCACACCUGCCCCAAGCGCCCUCGUGCUCUGGCUGUCAGAGCACCGUUUGCUCCCUGGCCUUUCCCCCGUGGGGUUGUGCUUUUCACCCCACAAAAGCAGCGCCGGGGCAGUGACAGCUCGUGGGGAACGAGCCCAGGGCCCCUGCUCUGUUUGUGUGGGUGCUGUAGUGCCAAAGCUUUGCCUUGCUGUGACUGAUCGGAUAAUGAAAGGUUCAGCAGCUGGGUUGGGAGGGGAAAACAGAGCUCGUGUGCUGCUGAGGUGGGAGCAGAGGGCACCUGGUUCUGGCUCCUUGGUGCCUCGUGGGAGGAAUCUUGCCAUUUAGCACCUCGAUGGGUGCUGGAACGUGAGGGGGGCUGCGUGGAGCCUGACCUCAGCACCGGGAAGCACCGAGCAAAACCCCAGGGCCGUAAAAGUCAUCGUUCGGAUGCCAAGUGCCUCCUCCAGCUUACCAAAAAUAGCCUUCUGCUGCAUCCAACUGCUGUCGUUUCCCCAGCCCUGCGAUGCUGCAGCGCCGUUGGUCCUGCUGAGAAAAUCCUCCCUUUCCAGGGGCAUCGAGAUUCCCCUGCGAGCUUUACGGGGUCGUCGCGUACACGCGGGGGUUUGCGCAGAGCUCGCUGCAGCUGCUGGCUCCUCUGGCUCUCGAGGGAUGUAUUUUGGGCAGUCUGGGGGUGCUUGGUUGAAGAGCACCCGGUGUUUGGGGAGAGGUGGGGGAAGGUGUCGCAAGCAGGGCUCUGCCUGUUCGGGACCCGUGCGCUCAACCUCACGCGAGAAGGAGCAUGAGGAUUUUAGGGAAGAGUUUAAGGAGCUCCAGCCGGAACAGAGGGCACGGGGAAAUGCACAGAGGUGGGCACGGAUGCAGUCUGGCUCCUGGGGACCGCAGGCACUCGGUGCCUCUGCUCCUGUACCUGUUGGUGUGUCCCGAAGGAGCUUUGUGGAACGGGAGCUUCGCGUCUCGGAUGUGGUUGGGAGCCUCCGAAAAGCUGCAAGCUCCUGCCAGGGCCUGAUGGGUGUUGCUGUGAGCUCGCUGGCCAGGCUUUCCUUUAAUUUUUCUUUAAAUAAGGUCUCGUGUGACAGAAGCAAAAGGCAGCUUGGUGCUUCAGAGCGCUCCACGAGCUCCUGGUUUGCCUCUUGUUUUGCCAGACCCUGGUUUGUCCCCGUGGCUUUCCCCUGGCUGCAACGCAGGCUUUGGCUCCGAGGAGAGCACAGAGCUUCCUGAGCUCCCAACACCCCUUCCCAUGGGUUUCUUCUAGCUGCCACA